GGACAACUGCCUACGUUGUGCCUUGCGCACAGGCAUCGAGACAGCCGCCAUCUUAGGGGUCCUCGAUAGGUGGGACCCGAUUGUUCAAGAUGCAUUUUAAAAGCUCUGUCCCGAGACGCUCUCGAGUUACGUUGAGACUGAUGAUUCCACAAUCUUCCACAAUGGACUUCACAUAGGAUGAACUGUUUCCAGUUUCAGCAAAAAAGCAAGAAUUUAUGAAUGGAUGACUGCACCUUAGCACUCUUCACUGCCACUGCAUGCCUCACCUGGGCCACAGAGAAAACAAUGUUGCUGCCUGUACAUGGCACAAUUAACCUCUAACCUUACAGCUGAAUCAAUGCAGUAACACUGUUAACUACCAAUGAUAUUGUACCAAAUGUUCAGACUGAAUAUACAGAGGAGAACUGGUCCCCAGUGUUUUUGGUUAGUCUGGUUUCUCCAAAGGUUUUUUUACUCCAGUAUCGACAUCUUACAGAUUUUUCUUUAUUAACCACCGUUGCCUUAAGCUUGCUUGCUGUCUGUAUGACGACUAAUGCAUUUAGCACCAACUAUUAAAACAGUGAGGGUGUUUUUGACCAUAUAGACACAACAGUAUGUCUUUCUGUAAAGAUUCUUUGAAAAUGUUAUGCAUUUUGAAAAAUGUAUAAAUGUCUUACAUUGA